rnacentral:piRNA from 1 species
UUUGGAAUUUCCCCAGAAUCUUGAGUUGUC